rnacentral:ncRNA from 1 species
GGUAAUAGCAAAUAUUCAAAUGAGAACUUUGAAGGCCGAAGAUGGGAAAGGUUCCAUGUGAACAGCACUUACACAUGGGUUAAUCGAUCCUAAGGGACGGGGGAAGCCCGUCUGAUAGCGCUCUGAGCGCGUACUACGAAAGGGAAUCAGAGACGUCGGCUGGGGCCCCGGAAAGAGUUAUCUUUUCUGUUUAACAGCCAGCCCACCCUGGAAAUGGCUCAGUCGGAGGUAGGUUCCAGCGGCUGGAAGAGCACCGCACGUCGCGUGGUGUCCGGUGCACCCCCGGCGGCCCUUGAAAAUCCGAAGGACCGAAUGCCUCCCACACUCGGUCGUACUCAUAACCGCAUCAGGUCUCUAAGGUGAACAACCUCUGGUU